rnacentral:rRNA from 1 species
AACGAACGCUUGCGGCAUGCUUAAAACAUGCAAGUCGAACGAGAAAGUGGCUUCGGCCAUGAGUAGAGUGGCGCACGGGUGAGUAACACGUAGCUAACGUCCCUCUUCGCUGGGGAUAACCUCGGGAAACCGAGGCUAAUACCGAAUGAUCUGAUGUGGUCCUUGGGCCAUAUCGGUAAAGCCUUCGGGCGCGAAGAGAUCGGGUUGCGUCCCAUUAGCUAGUUGGUAGGGUAAUGGCCUACCAAGGCUACGAUGGGUAGCUGGUCUGAGAGGAUGAUCAGCCACACUGGAACUGAAACACGGUCCAGACUCCCACGGGAGGCAGCAGUUGGGAAUAUUGGACAAUGGGGGAAACCCUGAUCCAGCAAUGCCGCGUGAAUGAUGAAGGCCUUCGGGUCGUAAAGUUCUUUUAGCAGGGAAGAAGGGAAACGUUGACUGUACCUGCAGAAAAAGCACCGGCUAACUCCGUGCCAGCAGCCGCGGUAAU